UACGUAGAAGACUAGUGUUAAUCAUCUUUAUUAGGUUUAAAGGGUACCUAGACGGUAAAUUAAACUCUUAAUGAGUACUUUUUUACUAGAGUUUUAUAAGAGAAGGAAGAAUUUCUGGAGUAGUGAUGGAAUACGUUGAUACCAGAAGGACUGGUAACGGCGAAGGCAUCCUUCUAUGUAAAAACUGACGUUUGAGGGACGAAGGCUUGGGGAGCAAGAAGG
rnacentral:rRNA from 1 species